rnacentral:lncRNA from 10 species
GUGCCCCUGAGCCGAGGAACGCAGGCGGUGGUCGUGGGGAAGGGAAGAGGAGCCCCGGGAGACGACAGCAGCAUGGGUGGGCGGCCUUCGAGCCCUCUGGACAAGCAGCAGCGGCAGCACCUAAGGGAAGCUGCCCCGAGUCCGUGAGCACCGAGGACCCCUGACCCAGCUUCGGGGCCACCCACCCCGGUGGCAGCCGAUCUUCUGUGUUCUGCGUGGGGACGGCCGCCUAGAGUGGUUCAGCCACAAGGAGGUGCGUGAUUGGCACGUGGCCUUUCUACUUCUGGGUCCCUCCUUCCCACCCCCGUCAGCCUCAAGGUUUGUGGGAUCCAUAUCUCAGCAUAGCCCCACCUCUAUCAAUCACCCAGGAUGAAUCUUGUGCCCCUAUGUGUUUGGCCUGUUGUAGGCAACCAUCUCGUCCCAUCCCCUGCUGUGCUGGGUGGGUAAACUGAGGCCCAGGCCAGGGAUAGGGUCGUGGUCAGUAUCAGAGCUGUGGUUUCAACCUCUUGGGGCCUUUGCAAGUCACACCUCUGGCCGCUCUGCUUUCUGGCUGGGGAGCUUGGAGCGAUCACUACCUUUCUGAAACUCAGUUUCCACUUCUGUGAAAUGGGAUGUUUCACACCAUGUAGGGCUUUGAGGGUUCAACAAGAGGGUCCUCAGACAGCACUUGGGACCGGACCGGCACGUGGGGAGCCCGUGGGUGCUGGGAGCUCAGGGACUGAGGGAGGAAGGGAGGGAAAGGGGAAAGGGAAGGAGGGAGAGAGAGGGCAAGAACAGGAGGGAGGAAGGGAGAAAGUUAUGGGGGCAGAGGUAGGAUGGAUGGAGGGAGAGAGGAGGAAAAAAAAAGGGAGGGAGAGCCGGGCCUCGUGGCUCACGCCUAUAAUCCCAGCCCUUUGGGAGGCUGAGGCAAAUAGAUCCCUUCAGCCCAGGAGUUCAAGAACAGCCUGGCCAACAUGGUGAAACUCCGUCUCUACUAAAAAUACAAAACCUAGGGCCAGGCACGGUGGCUCAGGCCUGUAAUGCCAACACUUUGGGAGACCAAGGCAAGUGGAUCACCUGAGGUCAGGAGUUCAAGACCAGCCUGGGCAACAUGGCGAAACCCCGUCUCAAUUAAAAAUACAAAAAUUAGCCUGCUGUGGUGGCGGGUGCCUGUAAUCCCAGCUACUCGGGAGGCUGAGGUGGAAGAAUCACUUGAACUUGGGAGGUGGAGGUUGCGGUGAGCUGAGAUCGCGCCAUCGCACUCCAGCCUGGGUGACAGAGUGAGACUCUGUCUCAAAAACAAAAAAAAAAAAAAAGAGAGAGGGAGGAAUGGAGGAAAGGAGAGGGAGGGAGGGGUGGGAGGGGCAGAGGAUUUUUCAGCUCAUCUGAAAUCUUCCCUUGAUGGUAUAGUUGGGACACAGAAGCCACAGUUCAGACCUGUCCCAGGUUGGUUCUCUGGGUACCUUUUGUAGGAAUAUGAAAACGGGGGCCACUGCCUUGGCUCAACAGCCCUGACAGGAUACACGCUCCUGACUUCCCAGCGAGAAUAUCUCCGCCUUUUGGAUGCUCUCUGCCCUGAAUCCUUGGGAGACCAUACUCAGGAAGAGCCUGACUCCCUCUUGGAAGUGCCUGUGAGCUUCCCGCUGUUCCUGCAGCACCCCUUCCGCCGGCACCUCUGCUUCUCUGCAGCCACCAGGGAGGCACAGCAUGCCUGGAGGCUGGCCCUGCAGGGUGGCAUCCGGCUUCAGGGCAUAGUCCUGCAGCGAAGCCAGGCCCCUGCUGCCCGGGCCUUCCUGGACGCCGUCCGACUCUACCGGCAGCACCAAGGCCA